rnacentral:lncRNA from 1 species
UGAUGACACUUCUGGAUGCUGAUUAUGAUAGUGCUUGUGUUGGUACUCUGAAAGCACGUCAGGCUUGCUUUCUGCAUCUCUGCCUAAACUCAUGUAUGAGGUCCAUCACUUUUCUAGCACUGAAACUUCUCGAUAAGGCACAUCACCCCAAGUAUACAAGAACAGAAUUCUCAAAGAGAUGUAGCUACUGGAAUCAAGGAGAGAGCUGUAUGCUGUUAUUUAUACCUGCUAAUUCAGGGUGUCAAAGAACGUAUUGACAUAUUCUUUAUGUAAGUCGUUUUGAGGCUGGGAGCGCACAGCCGCAAGGGGGAAGCUGCGCCAAUGGGAUCCGGUUUGAAGACAUGGCUGUUACAGGGGGUGUCUGUGUGGGUUUCCUUGCUUUUUCCCUGAACUGCUUUUCACUCAGACCAACUCUGUAACCCGCUUCCAUAACCUGGUGCCACCACGAUCCAUGCCACCCCAGUGUGUGUAGCCACAGGGUGCCUUGGACUGCUUGCAGGACCGUGCUGUUCUACCACUGUCUGCUGUCAGGGCACUGAGAACCAUUUCCCAAAAUCUGGAAAGUAUGCUCUUACAGCUGUCAACUUUAAAGAAAGUUUAUGUGAUGGUGAAGGUGGUCUUUAGGCCUGGACUCACUGUUAGUGUCUCAGCGCUUGGUUUGAGCAGAAAUCUUUUUUAUCUGCUAAGAGAUCUGAUUGUCCCAUCAAUUUCAAUCCUGCCUAAUUCAGUAGGAAUUAAAAGUGCUUCUACUUGAAAGGCUGUCUCAGGGCUCUCUGGGAACAAUGUCUGUCAUGUGCAAGCUCCCUUUAGCUCCCUCCUACCAGUGGCCAUACUUCUGAAUUAGGGAAUUCUGCAAGUACAGAAGAGCAAACAAAGCUUCAGGGGUUAGAAACUACCUUCAUUAUGCCUACAUCCAGAUAGUGUCAAGGCAUGCUAAGAAGGAGGAAUCUGGGAGGUUUAUAUAGUGGUUUCUGUGAAGAAGGAAAAAAACUUCAUUAAAUUAGACCAUUUGACAUUGUGUAAUUUGCUGUUCUUAGAUCCAUGCAAAAUUGUAAGGCUAUACUGCUAUUACACUUAGAUUAUUUAAUUACUAAAUUAAGAUAACUUGGAAAGCAAUUAGAAGUGUUUAACUUCUUGUUAAUGACCGGAGGCCUUAGACAAUUCAAGCCUUUCCC